rnacentral:misc_RNA from 1 species
GAUGAAAACGUAGCGAAAUGCGAUAAGUAAUGUGAAUUGCAGAAUUCAGUGAAUCAUCGAAUCUUUGAACGCACCUUGCGCUCUUUGGUAUUCCGAAGAGCAUGCCUGUUUGAGUGUCAUGAAAAUAUCAACCUUGACUUGGGUUUUGUGCUCUAGUCUCGGCUUGGAAUUGGGUGCUUGCCGCUUUUACGAGCGGCUCACCUUAAAUGUAUUAGCUGGAUCUGUCUUUGAGACUUGGUUUGACUUGGCGUAAUAAGUAUUUCGCUAAGGACAUUCUUCGGAGUGGCCUCGUUUCUAGGACGCUUGUCCGCUUUCCAAUACAAGUUCCACCUCGUGGACAUGACUUUUUAUUAUCUGGCCUCAAAUCAGGUAGGACUACCCGCUGAACUUAAGCAUAUCAAUAAGCGGAGGA